UACGGAGGGUGCAAGCGUUAUCCGGAUUCACUGGGUUUAAAGGGCGCGUAGGCGGGCAGGUAAGUCAGUGGUGAAAUCCCCGAGCUUAACUUGGGAACUGCCGUUGAUACUAUCUGUCUUGAAUGCUGUGGAGGUGAGCGGAAUAUGUCAUGUAGCGGUGAAAUGCUUAGAUAUGACAUAGAACACCAAUUGCGAAGGCAGCUCGCUGGACAGUUAUUGACUCUGAGGCACGAAAGCGUGGGGAUCAAACAGG
rnacentral:rRNA from 1 species